CUGAUUUUAAUGGAAAAUCAUACAUCUUGAGUACACUGUCCUUACAGCAUUUAAAACUGCCUGUUUCAGUGUGUUUGUUGUUUGCACGUAAUGGCAUGCUCUUCUAAGUGACGAAGGCUAACUUUUUUUUUUUUUAUGAAAGCAAAAUAAAGCCUUUUAUUACUUUCCAUCUCCCUGCCCCAACAGCCAGAAAUGAAUUGAAUUUCUCAGAACUCAGAGGAUUCUUUUGUUUCCUUUAGGCUAAGAGCAAGCAUGAAAGAUGUCAAGUGAGGGCUGAUGCUAUAUGCUCAAAGGGGCUGGGAUGUUUCCAGGCACGGUGAGUUCCUGCACGCUCAAGGGAACAUGCUGAAGAAAGCUGGCAGUGAGAGCAUUUCAGAAGACCAAAGUAUUUUUUUUCGUGGAGAAAAAAAAAUGAAAUGAGAAACCACAACUUUGGGAUCUCCAAAGGCAACUGAAAAUUUGGAUGAUGCCGGGCUAUGGGAUGGAAUAAGCUGCUCUUUCUACACAUGGAUAUGUUCUGGGAAGAAAGGUGACUUUUUCUCCUUACGCGUCACCAAAGACUCACCCUGAUGUGGGGUUGUCAGGUACUGGGGAGAAAUGCAAUUUAUUCUGAAGAUGAGACAGUCUCUCUUGGGUUUUAUAACUUUCUGCGCUAGUAGAGUUGGUUACUAUGUGUACCAUUAUCUCCUUCUUUGGCAGACAAAGAUUGCAGAAGAUGACAACAAUAAUUUAGAUAGCUUAACAUUAAAAAAAAAAAAAAAAGCUUUUCUAGAUCCUAAUUUACUUGUUAAUUAUUAAACUUCAACCCUGCAGAGUGAUAUUUUCCAUUCCAGAGGUUUGUUUCAGAGUGGAGUGUCAAAAGUCAAAUGACAAAUGUUUUGCUGAAUCUGUAGUUAGGAAACUUGCUAUUUCUGCCAAUGUGAAAAAGACUCAGAGAGGAGGGAGGAUGAUGCCAUUGGCCUGGAGCAUGGAGGUGGCAGCAGGGUCAGUGGUCUGGCAAUAGCUGAACUGCAACUGAGGCAGUGGAAGCUGGACUAGAGGAGCCAGCACUGACUCUGAGGCUCUCCAUUUCUUUUCUGUUGGCCAGCAUGUGGCUCUGACAUAGAGUUUUGCCCUUCCUUGGGAUGUAGCCAUGUUGGCAGCCUCGGUGAUGCUGCAGAGCCUAGCAGUCCCAUGACACUGAGGGCCCUCUCCAGACACGGCCUAUGGUGUCCGUGUUGGCCCUGGGCAGCUUAGUGGAGGUGCCUUUAAAUCCCACAGGCCCUGGUGACAGCUAAUAUUUGGGCCAAUCUGGGAGGGCUGGGUGUUGGUCCACCUACAUCAGUCAUUUAUCAACUCAUGGGACGUGCCCACAGUGUGAGGGCCUGCACACGUGCAACCAUGUGGUUGUGGACUAUGAAGCCUGGGGCUUUCUUACCAAAAAGUGUGUGUAUUAAACAUGAGGCUGGUGUGUCCACGUGCAGAGCAGACAGGGUGCUUCAGGGCCAGUACUCUGAUGCUGUCUUUGAAGGUAGGUGACAUGGACAGCCUGACCUUGCUGUGGAUGUUGCUGUUCAUUGCAGAGGAGUUGGACUAGAUGGCCUUCAGAGGUCCUUUCCAACUUUAAAGAUUCUAUGAUUCUAUGACAAGUGAGUUUGUUCCUGGGUGAGCCUUGGGGCUGCUCUGCUGCAGCCCCAUAGAUGGAUCUUUGGAGGAUACAGGGCAACUACUUUAUUAGGUUCAGUGGUCCAUGUCUUCACCAUAGAUUUAAAGCCGUAGGAAAACAGAGAGAAGCCCCAGCAAUGGCUUUAACAGCCUGUGCUGAUCUGGGCCUGCCAGAAAGCCUGCAGUAAUGUUCCUUCCAGUGUCAGCAGCUCCAGUCCCAAGAGGCACUGCGGUCCUUCAGACCUGCCCAGCUCUCUCUGAACCGACAUGACUUUAUGCUGAACCCUCAGGGUUGGUAAUAGCCAGCAGGACUUUAUUUAAUGACUGAAAAUACCAUUCCUGCAAGGGAGAACCACCCAUACGCAUUCAGAGGUGCCUAUUGUGCCUUCAGGCAAAAUCCAAGGCAGCGCGAGGUGCACAUGUACCCUCAGUGACUAAAUAAGGGAGAAAGCUCUGCAUAGCAGGGCUGCUCUGAAGAAGUGCUUUCACCACUGAAAAUUACAGUUCCUCAGGAAACAAAGUGGUAGGAACAUGAGUUAUAAAGGUCACAUGAAGCUCUCCAUAACAGACUCUGUGACAGGAGGUUGUAGCAAGGUGGCAGUCAGCCUCUUCUCCCAGGUAACAGUGAUAGGAUGAGAGAUAAUAGCCUUAAGUUGCAGCAGGAGAGGUUCAGGUUGGAUAUUAGGAAACAUUUAUUUUCCAGAAGAGUGGUCAUGCAACGGAACAGGCUGCCCAGGGAUGUAGUGGAGUCACUGUCCCUGGAGGUGUCCCAGAACCGUGUGGAUGUGGCACUGAGAGACAUGGUCAGUGGGCAUGGUGGGGAUGGGUUGAGGCUGGACUUGGUGAUCUUAGAGUUCUUUUUCAACCUUAAUGGUUCUAUGAAUUCUAUGAUUCUAACAGUGUUCUCGAGAAUGGAAACUAAGAAAUAAAUGAGUGGUAAGAGUCCUACCUAAAGCGAAGGUCUUUACAAGUAUUACCCAGGGAAUUCCCCCUAAUUAUUGAACAUCACUCAGCUACUUGAGCCUUACAAUGGUGUUGCUGGAAUAAGCCUCAAAAACAAGAGCAAACUACUACUACGUGGUUUUCUGAGUCUUGCAAAUGAAGUUUCACAGUCCCAGUGCUGAGAUUCAUCUUAUAAUGCUUUGGCAUGCCUUCUACUAUCUAGAUACUUGUGCUCCAUCUAGUGAAUAAAUUUAUUGCUCAUCCUGGAUCAGCUUUGGCUGUGGAGAGGUCCUGGGGAAAAGAAAUGCAAUUUAUGAAUUUGACCUAUGCAAAAAUGGGAAUUACCCAGGAAGAUUCUAAGUCCGAUUUUACUGGAAGGGUAAGAAUGACAGUGAUUGUAGCUUCCAGCUGCUCAUUGACAUGUCUUUAAAUUCUUCUUAGAAGACUUGAGGGUUUUUCUUAAUGAAGUUUCCCAUGAAAAUCUAUUUGUUUUUAUAUUCAGUGGGCGGAUUUACUUGUUAUGUGAAGCAAAUGAAGGGGAAGAGGUAAAAUGAGAAAAGCUGGUUCAAGUACAUUAACUGUAUCUGUUACAACCCAUCUUUACUGUUCUUGUUCAGCAGCCAAAACACAUUCCUCUUUUAUAAAAGAAGGAACACAGGGGCACCAGCUCACAGAUCUUUAAUGCAAUAAAGUUGUCUGGAGAUGUAUGUGAGGGGCCCCAUGCUGCUGGGCACUGAUGAGAGAAGAGGAGAGACUCAGAGUGCCAGCAUGGAGACACUCCAGACCUGCUCUGGUGUCUGCUGAAGACCCUAAGAGACUCAGAGAGGUCUGGGUUUUCUCCUUCCUUCUUCCUUCCUGCUGUCCUUCUGCCUCUCAGACUGCCUUGCCUAACCUUUGCCAGACAUAUCUUAGAAUCACAGAAUUGUUUGAGUUGGAAUGGACCCUUAAAGGCCAUCUGAUUCAAAGCCCUGCAGUGAAGAGGGACACCCACAGGUAGAUCAGGUUGCUCAGAGCCUCAUCCAGCCUGACCUUGAGUCUCCAGGGAUGGGGCAUCCACCACCUCUCUGGGCAACCUCUUCCAGUACCUCACCACUCUUACUGUAAAAAACUUUGCCCUUAUAUCCAAUCUAAAUCUCCCCUCUCUUAGUCUGAAACCACUUCCCCUUGUUAUAGCACAGCAGACCUUGCUAAAGAAUCUGCCCCCUUCCUUCUUAAAGCCUCCCUUUAGAUACUGAAAGGCCACUGGCAGGUCUCCCUGGAACCUUCUCUUCUCCAGGCUGAACAGUGUGGUAUCUCAUGCCAUGUUCCACCUUUUCUUUUUCUCUGUUUCCAUAUUGAAACUGUGAGCGGGAAGUCGACACAAGGGGCCAUGAAAAGAAAGGCCAUGGUAUUUUUUGCUGAGAAUGUGUUUUUGGGGUCCUGUUUGAUACUCAUGAAAGAAAAUUGCUCUUUUCAGUUUUCCAACUCUGGGCCAGACCCAGGGGCUAGCAGACCCCAUAGUUGUACCCCACAGCCUGAUCUGCACCGGACACCUUCCUCUUGCUGCCGCUUUUGUCUUAAACCAGGCUCCCGUGUCAUGGUCCUGCUGGGUGUUGAAGCCUUCUAUCUGCCCCAAUGGCCCAGGAUGAUGGCUAUGGUUGGUGAGGUGGCUGGUGGGUGCCCAAAAGUGCUGUGGGGCUUACCCUCCGCCACCUCUCUCCUUAGCCCCUGGCCAUGCACGAUCAGACUGGAAGCAGCACAACUGAGAGCCAUUUGCUCUGUCUGAGUGUGCACGUGUUUUAUGGAGUGGUGACAACAUGAUGUACACAUUUCAACCAGAUGUGAUGGCUGUGUAGCAUAGUAGCACCAGGGACGCUCGACUGCGCAGGGCUGGAAGCAGUGGCACAGGAAGUCUGGUCCCAUAUUUACCUUUCCCUGCAGCUACGUCCUGGGGUAAGGAGGAUGGAGCUGGGCCACUGCUGGCGUGGGAGACUCCAUGGGCACACUGAGCUGAAGGAAACAAGUCAGUCCAGGGCACAGUUUUGUGCCUUCUUUAUCUCUAUUGACUCUAACUGGGUGCUAAAACCCUGCUUUCCAUAGCAGAGAUGAAAAUAAGAUCUUGACAAUAAAUGCUGUAUGACGUUUACUGCCUUUUUGUGCCUACCCUAAGUCAAGUCUCAGGUCAGGCUGUUGGUUUCUCCUGCUCACAGCUUUAGACUGACACUGCUUCUUGGAUUCUUCCAUUCUAGACAGUUUUUGUUAUUAGUUGCUGUUAGGUUACUUGACAGCUCUGUCCAUGAGGCGGCUUAGUUCAUUUGUCAGCAAUACCAUCCCUAUGGACAUUACAGUGGAAAAAAAAGUAGGUCAUUACUUACUAUUUCUAAGGAUCACGGGUUUUUCACUUACUUCUGUGGUUUGGUGGCUUGCACAACCUUCACAGCGCACAGUGAAAACAUUACGCUCUUAUUGUAUGUGUCCCCCAUGUAAAUGAGCCUGAUGGAGGAGUCCCAUAAUCUUACCUAUGGGCUUUCAUGAACUCCAUGGUCUUUAGUGGUGACAUUAAGAACUCUGCACUUGCUCUCCUGAUCUAGCGAGCAGAAUAGCAUUUGCAGGUAAAAAGAUAAAAGUCAGAAAUCUACCUAAAGGAAAUCAGAAAAUCUGCUCAGGAUCUACAUCUCUGGGAUAAGGAAUCGAUAGGGAAAAACAGACAGAAGGAAAUACAUGUGGGGAAAAGUUUGAGAUGAAUCAGAAAUUGUGGAAAUCUGCCUAUGAAAUGUUAUUUUUACUAUGACGCAAUGCUAAAUGCAUUCAGACUGCAAAAGACAGGCAGCUUAAAAUGGAGUACAGGAGCUGACCACUGAUUUUUUUUGACCCCAUGGAAGAACAAUGAAGAUGCUUUGGGGAAGAACAGCAAGGAGAAGCCCUCAAAGGAGAAGCCUUAAAAUUAUCUGACUGCCUGAGCCUUCUCUUGAAGCACAGGAGCUGGUGUAGAGCCCAUGAAGAUCUGUGCCACUCCUGAUCACUGCUGGCCCUGGCUGGUGCUUGAAUACUUGUAAUAGGGUCUAGACAAAGGUUAGAGAUGCUCGGAUUGGUAAGCUGUGCCAGGAGAGGAUUAGCUGGGUGUUAGGAAAAGUUCUUGAUCAGAGUGUGGUUGGGUUCUGGAACAGGCUUCCCAGGGCCGUGGUCGUGACCCCAAGCUGCUGGAGUUCUUGGACAGUGCCCUCAGACAUAAGUGUUGAAUUUUGUGCGGUGCUGUGUGGAGCCAGAAGUUGGACUCAGUGAUCCUUGUGGCUUCCUUCCAGCUUGGGACAUCGUGGAAUCAUAGAAUGGCUUGACUUGGAAGGGACUCCAAGGAUCAUCAAGUUCCAACCCUCCUGCCACAGGCAGGGGCACCAACCUCCAAAUCUGGCACUCAACCAGGCUGCCCAGGGCCCCAUCCAACCUGGACUUGAACACCUCCAGGGAUGGGGCAUCCACAGCCUCUCUGGGCAGCCUCUUCCAGCACCUUACCACCCUCUAUGAAGAACUUCCUCCUGACAUCCAAUCUAAGCCUUCCCUCCUUGAGCUUAAAACCAUUCCCCCUUGUCCUAUCACUGUCUUAAUAUGCUAUAUUAUAUGUAUAUGCUAUGAUUCUGGGUUUCUAAGGAAAAGGAACAAUAGAACAGGACUGAGAACUGCUUUUAAGAGAUAGAAAACUUUCCUCGAAUCUUUUGGUAUUUAAUGCUUCAGUUUACCUAACAGAUAACCAGGCAUUUCCUGCUGUGAACACAACCAAAAGUUUUAGCUGUGCCUGGGAAAACGUGGGUGAAUUAAAGAAGCUCAAGUGGUUCCUUGACAAAAGCACUGAGGAAGAUGAAUUACAAGAGAAGGCUGGUGAAUUUACAGAGCUCCUGGGGAGAAGAAAGCAAGAUGUUAUGUUUGGGGUGACAGCUACUGAGCAGACUUUUGAGGUGGCUAAUGUACCAGAGAGCAAGCCAUUUAUCAAAAGCAAAAGAGAUUGACUGUGAAGCUUUUUAAACAUACCACUGCUUCCUGAAAAAAAAAAUUAACCUGUCAUCAGAUGAGUUUUUUUGAACCUCUGGUCCUUUGAAGGUUUUAUGUUGGAGGACAUUCACUUCCCUUGACAUAGUCAGAUGACCCUGGGAUCAAAUCUGCCCUGUAGACUAGUCAAGAACAUUUUCACUGCUAUUUUCCUUGGGAAUGGAAGUGCUGAGAGGCUGUUCAUAUGGUGUCUUCUGCUUGGGCUAGACUGAAAAUAUCAGAUAUUUAGGAAAAAUAAAAAUAAUUCAGGAAGAGAUAAUAGGUCAGAUGUCCUGAAAUGCAAGUCCUGCUGGGGGGAAACUGAAUCAGGACACAUUCCUCUUGCCAUGAAACAUCUGAGAGAAUCUUUGCAGACCACAAGCUCCAUCUUUAUUGUCAUGUGAAAGACCCAGCCUCUGGCCACAAGAAGCAAUCCAGUCUUCUGAUCCAGACUGCCUGGGAAUCACUGCCAGUAGCUCUGCCAGGGCUUGGUUUCCCCUGGGAGACCUCUCAGCUGGGCUCCGUCCUGCUCUCUCUGACCGUGGCUGAGAUGACAAACUCACAGCCCAAACUGUCUACGACAAACGGGUUGUUGGCAGAAUCCUGUUUCAUUCAGUGUGCUUAAAAAAAUAAAUAAAAGAAGAAAGAAACCCAUGUAUUUUGAUUUUCUCCUUUAGUAUCCUAAACAUUCCUUUUAUGAAGACUAGAUAUCUAAAGACAUUUCCUUAUAAGUUCAAAGAAACUUUAUGGAGUCUGCAUGUGAUCUGCGUUGUGAAAAAAACUGCUUUUUCUUAAAAUACUGUCAGGAGGGAAAAUGCCCAGCAAGCUGACUCUGGAAAUGACUGAUGCCAAGUGCCUCCUCCUCCAGCCUGCACGGCCACCACUGCAGACAAAACUGUCCAUGCUGUGGUUCAUAUUCAUACUUACUCAUAUGUUGGAUAUUCUGAUCUGAGGCUUAUAUUUCAAUUUCUUUUCAGGAACAACAUGACUGGAACCCAAAGUGUCUGGGAAUUCAAAGACUAUAACAACACCUCUGAAUGUACAGGGCUGAGGAGGCAGAAUUCCUUCAUAUUAGCAAAAUCAGCUCAGUAACACCCUUUCUUCAAGUUACUUGCCCAUCUCUCUCUUUCCUGGCUGGAUCUUGGCCCAGUGUUGGAAGUGGCCUCAUCUCCAGCCCCAUUUCAAUCUCCUGGUUCUCCUGAUGGGACCUCUUGCAUGGACCUGAACUUUGUUGAUCUCUUGCUCUGUCUGGGGCUGUUGAUGGAUCCCAUUACCAGCCCCUAGCUCUGCCCACAGUUUUAGCCCCCUUGGGAGGGCACAGCCCGCAUGGGGCUGACUCCAGGCUCAUCCCCACUUUGGAAGCAGCCCCAAGCUUGUUGCCCCCUGAGAUCAAAUUAGUGCCAGGAUGAUCGUUUAGAACAUUAAGAGCUAAUAUUAUUGGUACUUGGUUUUUAUGCUUGAGAACAUACAGUGGAUGGUUUUAUUCUUCCACACUGUUUCUAAAAUAUUAAACUUGAUUAUGCAUUUUUAUUCAAAUGUUUUACUUGUUCGAAAAACUGAACAGUGCAGUUAGGCUCAGGAUAUUUGAAAGCAGUAGAAAAGUACAAAUACUACUGGCAGCCUUUUGUUGUUAUUUUUGCAAUUUAUUUAAUUAGUAACUAAAUUUAAAUACAAUUUUCCAACUCUGUUUUUUUAAUCUAAAUCGUUAAUGUUCUCCAGAUCCGCUCCAGGUUCACUAGACUGGGUAGAAAUUAAGGCAUUAUUUUGAUCCAGGGGAAAAUGCCAUGCCUAUUUAGGGCAUUUGUUAUCUACUUCAUUUUGCUCUUUUAUUUUUAGCUAUAUUUUGCAUUGCAUUUCUGUGUAUGUGUGCGUGUGUAUUUUAAAAUUAUUUUAGAAUUUUAAUUUUUAUGUGGCAUUGAUUCUUGGCACUGAAGUUAAAGGCUGGAGUUGAGCAAGCUAUGAAAUUACUGCAUCAGCACAACCACUUGAAAGUCUCUGCCAUGUACUCAGCUCUGCAUUUGCCAAAGCUCUCUUCAAACUCUCUACAGGAUCCUACAAAAUAUGUUCAUCAGCUGGGCAGGAGGGAGAAAGGAAGGGUGUGGUGAGAAUACCACUCCCUCAUUUGCCUGGCUAGCUGUGGUCCAGAGCUUCCUUACUGAAAUGCAAAGAGUUCAAAACUGUUCCCUGUAAGGGAAAUUGAAAGGUAGAGUCAUGAUAACUAAACAUGAAAAGCAAAAAAUGUUCUUUUCAGUAUGUUCUAGACCAAAGGAGCCCCCUGCAAGAAAUCUGUUUUACUAAGGUGAAGUGCAGAAGGAAUGAUUGCUGCUGCUUUGUUCAGGCAUGGGCUUCCCUCCAUGCUGCCUAACAAGGGCAAGUUUCUGGCUGGGAGAGAAACAUGCAGGGAAAGUCUACAUGCAUUGGAAAGGGAGAUCCUUGCAUUUCCCAGCUGGACUCUCUGUGCUUUGGGAAGACAUUCCAAUCAUCCUUAAAGCUGCGAUGUUCUUGUUUCAAGAAGAUGUUGUAAGUCCCAGGCAAAGGUGUCUCAGCUGAGUGCCUUUGCUUAUGUUGAUGUACCCUUCUCAGGUAAGACCCAUGAUCACUAGUUGUUUUCACAGCAAAAUGAAGGCCUGCUUGUAGCUCUAGUGGUCCCCAUGAGACAUAACCAUGGCACAGGAUGGAAGCCUGAGCUGUAUCUGUUCUUCUGGGGGAUUACAACAGAGGGUAGUCUUUGUGCACCAGGAGCCACAGACUGCUGUCUGGACCUCACUGCUCUGGUCAGGCCAUUGCCAACUCACUGUCCUGGAUGACUACACAGGCAGAAGAACCAUAACUCUUGUGGGUUCCACCAGAAAAUGAUGAUCAGAGGGCUGGAGCACCUCUCCUAUGAAGGAAGGUUGAGGGAACUGGGCUUGUUUAGGUUAGAGAAGAGAAGGCUCCGGGGAGACAUCAUUGUGGCCUUCCAGUACUUGAAGGGAGUGUAUAAACAGGAGGGGGAAUGGCUGUUUACAAGAGUGGAUAGUGAUAGGACAAGGGGGAAUGGUUUUAAACUGAGACAGGAGGUUUAGGUUAGGUAUUAGGAGGAAGUUUUUCACAAAGAGGGUGGUGAUGCACUAGAACAGGUUGCCCAAGGAGGCUGUGGAUGCCCCAUCCCUGGAUGCAUUCAAGGCCCGGCUGGAUGUGACUCUGGGCAGCCUGGUCUGGUGGUUGGCGACCCUGCACAUAGCAUUGGAGUUGAAACUAGGUGAUCUUUGAGGUCCUUUUCAACCCAGACCAUUGUAUGAAAAAACUGAUGUGCAUGGGGAAAAUGACAACUGUGCUUCCCAAUUCCUUUCCAAUACAAACCAUGACACUCUUAUUGACCUGGAGCAGAGUACAGAGGGUGAGAAGCCCUGCUGGCACAGCAGGUUGCUGGCAACACAUGUUCACAGAAUGGGACUUCUUUCUUGAUAUUAAAUUAAUGCACAAUGAAGUAUUAUAGAUAUUCCUUCUACAUCUUAACCACACUUAGAGGGCUUGCAUUAUUAAUGCCAAAUAUAAUAAAAAUGUUUUCUAAUCUUGAUUGAGUUUCUGGUUCUCAUUUGCUCCCUGGCAUCCUAUGUUUCACUGCCUCUUUCCUUCCCCCAUGUUUGUAUUAUGGUUCUUCUUUGUGUCUUUGACUACAGACAUCUGGGCCCUGUCCCUUUCAAGGACUUCCUUCAGUUUUUCUUCUGUUCUGAUGAUUAAGAAAUGUAUUUUGAAUUUUUGCUCUUCCUUUCCUUUUUGAACAUAUUGGUUUAUUUAUUUAUUUAUGGAGGGACACUGGAGGAGUGUGGGGUUGGAUCCUUGGUUCUUCCUUUUGCUUUAAUUGUCUGUCCAUCAUCUCCUAUUACUUCCUCUUUCCUGUACUGUGGGAAUCUGCACUGCGCUAAAUACAACACAAUGUAGCUGAUGCCAGGUUGUAUUAUUCUGUGUCCUUUGCUUUUGGCUCACUGCAAGGCAGGAGAAUAACAUGAGCCUCACAGAUUAUUGGAUCCACAAAACUCUCAAAUGCAGCAAAUUAACUCAUGCAAAGUCCUGCAGUGCUGUGUCUACACUUGCUUCUACCAAGAACAUGGAACAAGAAAUCAGAGGCUGAGAAAGAGGACAUCUGUAAAAUGUAAUGUGGCAAAUGGGUCCAGAUCUUUGUUGGGGGAAGUGGGAGGUGGUGAAGAAAAUACUAUGAUGAAAAAUGCCUUCUAAAAAUCCCAUGUCCUGCUACAGAUGCAGAUUAGUACAAACUGUUGUUUUUUCUUACUUUUUUUUUCUAGUGCUUGAUCUCAGAGAUUGUUCAAAUAUUUCAUUGUGGCAAUAAGCUUUGUAGGAAGAUCACAUAGUCUGAAAACAUUUUUAAUGAACU
ensembl:lncRNA